CCAGAGCUGGGUGAGCUCACCCAGGCUGUGCUAGACGGCUGCACCCCCUGACCUGGGAAGGGCUGGUGGGGACUGGACAGAGGAGAGAGCUCUGUUCCCAGCAGGGCUGUCACCAUGGGAACUUUAGGGACCGAGGCCAUUUACGGUUGGUUGUAAACCCUGACUCUGACAGCAAAGCCUUUCUUUGCCUUUUCCUCUGGACUUGGCCCUGACUGUCUCAGAGAAAGCAGGCUCAAAUUCUACCUCCGGCUGGCUCUGCACACACAUCCCCUGGCACUGAGUGCUGGCCCACUGCGUGGGAGCUGCUCGAGCUCAGCGAAGUGUCCUGGCUGUCUCUCCCGGAGAAAGUGGAGCAGGCGCCUGAGGUGAUGCUGAGCAUCACAGGUUUGACAGCUCUGCAGACACCUGCAGAUAUGCAGGGAGGGAGAAAUGGUGGGUUAGCAGUGUCACUGCCCCUUGGAGGAGCUCUCAGAUCAACUUGUCAGGCAAAAGAUCUCUGUUAAAAUCUAGCUCCCCUUGGCAGAUUCCCAGCUUUGACGCUGGAAAGGCUCAUCUUUCAGCUUGGCCAAAACUGAAAGUGCUGUGGUGAAAAGAUGGAGAAACAGCUGGCAGGAGCCAGCAGACCGCAGACCGUGAAAGAACCAGCCUGGAGGAGAAGUUGAGGGCAGAAGGAUUUCAGCAGCCAAAUCUAAUCUUCUUCUGAUGCCAAAUGCUCCUGUGGAAGCCACUUAGGUUGUGCAGCUCCUGAGAACUACUCCUGUUGGGAUGCCUCCCCAGCCUUCUGCUAGAGAGAGAGACGUUAAAACACAGACCUGGUAUCAAUGCUGCUCUGUCUCCUGGGAGCUACAGUCCAGGUAUGAGACCAGGAAGAGAAGAUGUGCUUCCUAAGAAAAAGUGACUGGACUUGUUCUGGGCUUCCUGUGGGAUUCUGGGGGAAAAUGAAAAGGCUUUGCUGCUUUAUGACGGCUGGCAUCCUGGCAGCACCUGGGACUUUGGCUUCAUUUCUUAAGCAGACCCUUGGUCCCUUGGAGAAGGUCAGCAGCAAGGAGCCAUCUCUGGCUGGCUCUUCUGUGCAGACACAGGCGAGUGGCCAGCUGCUGGUGUGA
rnacentral:lncRNA from 1 species